CGAACGGGUGAGUAACGCGUGAGGAACCUGCCUCAAAGAGGGGACGAACAGUUGGAAACGACUGCUAAUACCGCAUAAGCCCACGGCUCGGCAUCGAGCAGAGGGAAAAGGAGCAAUCCGCUUUGAGAUGGCCUCGCGUCCGAUUAGCUAGUUGGUGAGGUAACGGCCCACCAAGGCGACGAUCGGUAGCCGGACUGGGAGGUUGAACGGCCACAUUGGGACUGAGACACGGCCCAG
rnacentral:rRNA from 1 species